rnacentral:rRNA from 1 species
GGCAGCACGGGUACUUGUACCUGGUGGCGAGCGGCGGACGGGUGAGUAAUGCCUAGGAAUCUGCCUGGUAGUGGGGGAUAACGCUCGGAAACGGACGCUAAUACCGCAUACGUCCUACGGGAGAAAGCAGGGGACCUUCGGGCCUUGCGCUAUCAGAUGAGCCUAGGUCGGAUUAGCUAGUUGGUGAGGUAAUGGCUCACCAAGGCGACGAUCCGUAACUGGUCUGAGAGGAUGAUCAGUCACACUGGAACUGAGACACGGUCCAGACUCCUACGGGAGGCAGCAGUGGGGAAUAUUGGACAAUGGGCGAAAGCCUGAUCCAGCCAUGCCGCGUGUGUGAAGAAGGUCUUCGGAUUGUAAAGCACUUUAAGUUGGGAGGAAGGGCAUUUACCUAAUACGUAAGUGUUUUGACGUUACCGACAGAAUAAGCACCGGC